rnacentral:rRNA from 1 species
UUGGAGGGCAAGUCUGGUGCCAGCAGCCGCGGUAAUUCCAGCUCCAAUAGCGUAUAUUAAAGUUGUUGCAGUUAAAAAGCUCGUAGUUGAAUCUCGGGAUCAAUUUGCUGGUCGUGCCUCUGGUACGUACUGGUAUUAUUGGUUUCUCCCUUCUGACGAACCAUGAUGUCAUUAAUUUGAUGUCGUGGAGAAUCAGGACCGUUACUUUGAAAAAAUUAGAGUGUUUAAAGCAGGCAUUAGCUUGAAUACAUUAGCAUGGAAUAAUGAAAUAGGACGUUUGAUCCUAUUUUGUUGGUUUCUAGGAUUGACGUAAUGAUUAAUAGGGAUAGUUGGGGGCAUUAGUAUUCAAUUGUCAGAGGUGAAAUUCUUGGAUUUAUUGAAGACUAACUACUGCGAAAGCAUUUGCCAAGGAUGUUUUCAUUAAUCAAGAACGAAAGUUAGGGGAUCGAAGACGAUCAGAUACCGUCGUAGUCUUAACCAUAAACUAUGCCGACUAGGGAUCGGAUGAUGUUAAUUUUUUAAUGACUCAUUCGGCGCCUUACGGGAAAC